rnacentral:rRNA from 1 species
CAGCAGCCGCGGUAAUACGUAGGUGGCAAGCGUUGUCCGGGAUUAUUGGGCGUAAAGGGCUCGCAGGCGGUUUCUUAAGUCUGAUGUGAAAGCCCCCGGCUCAACCGGGGAGGGUCAUUGGAAACUUGGAAACUUGAGUGCAGAAGAGGAGAGUGGAAUUCCACGUGUAGCGGUGAAAUGCGUAGAGAUGUGGAGGAACACCAGUGGCGAAGGCGACUCUCUGGUCUGUAACUGACGCUGAGGAGCGAAAGCGUGGGGAGCGAACAGGAUUAGAUACCCCUGUAGUCCCUGUCUCUUAUAA